rnacentral:rRNA from 1 species
AUGGUGCGCCCUCGCCACGUAUUCGCCUACGCUGAUGGGACGCCACAACUGGAGCUCCUCUGCGCGGCGACCACGGGCGACCUCGCUCACCUCGAGCGAAUGGUGAGGAAACUCGAUGGUGGUCGCGGCCGCCUUGCGGAGGCGGUGGAAGCCGUCAAGGAUCACGGCGCUGGGGCACUGCACCUGGCCGCCUCGGGCCAAAAUUUGGAGGUGUGCGAGUACCUGGUCGAGGAUGUCGGGGUGAAUGUGGAUGCCGUUGACGAAGCAGGAAGAACACCUCUGGUUUGGGCAAUUAUUGUUAAAGGUGGGCAAGUGGAUAUUGUUAAGUAUCUUCUUGAUCAUGGUGCCAAUCCAGAUAAUGCCGACAGAACAGGGAUUACUCCUCUUCACGAGGNNNNNNNNNNAGGGCACUGUGAAGUAGUAGAACUCUUGCUCUCUAGAGGUGCUUAUGUCGAUCCGUUUUCUACGAUUGAUGGAACACCGUUGCAUGUCGCUGCUGAACAUAAGCAGGAAUGGGCCAUGAAGAUUUUGUUGGAUCAUCAUGCAGAUUGUAACAAGAUACUAAGAGGUUUCUUGACACCUCUCAACAUUGCUAUUGAAAGUCGCUCAGUGAAAUGUGUGAAACUACUGGUAAAGGCUGGUGCGGAUGUGAAGGGUCCCCGUAAUGCGACUCCCUUGCAAGGUGCUGCAAGACUUGGCCUAACUGACGCCCUUAAGUGCCUACUGGAUGCUGGGGCAGAUCCCAAUGAUCGAGAUGAACAUGGUCACUGGCCUAUACAAUUGGCAGCAUAUUUUGGUACACGCAAAGAUGUCGAAAUCCUAUUUGGAGUGACUUCUCGUAUUCCUGCUGUACAUGAUUGGAGUGUUGAUGGAAUAAUUAGUUAUGUAAAGGCACAGCCAAAGUUGGAGGAUCUCCCUUUGUCUAAAAUGACAGUAGCUGAAUUGAAAAAAGAAGGAUCCAAAGCUAUGUAUAAACAGGAUUACAAGGCGGCAUUAGAAAUCUAUAAUAUGGCGAUAACGCUUGAUCAUGACAAUAUUGAUCCAGUCAUCAUUGGCAAUAGGGGUUUUUGCCGGCUUAUAUUGCAUAGAGACGGUGCUUUAAAUGAUGCACAGAUCUGCAGGCAAAUACAACCUGACUGCCCACAUGCAUGCUGGCUGGAAGGCUACUCAUAUUUGCUACUACAGGAGUUUGAAAAGGCAUGUGAUUCAUUUCUUGAUGCUGUCAAACUGGAUCCAGGACAUGUUGGAAUCGAGAAGGCAUUAAGGGAGGCUCUGAGGUUGUUGACAGAAUCCGACGCCGAUAAGAAGAAUGGUGUAGAAGGACCUGGAUAUCGCCCCGUAUAUUUGUACCAUUGA